GGAGAGAGUAUAGCUCAGUGGUAGAGUGUGUGCUUAGCAUGCACAAGGUCCUGGGUUCAAUCCCCAGUACCUCCA
rnacentral:tRNA from 1 species